AAAAAACGGUCAACCCCGUUUCACAUUAACGGAAAGGAAUGACAUUGCAAUGCAAUAAUCUCAUUUGUCUCGAUUGGACAUCAAACAUUCAGACCCCAAAACCCUACCGCUAUCUGAUCGAUAGUCGCAUAUUCGUCAUCAUCGGAUUCAUCGACAAUGGUGACCUCCGGCAAGAAGACGAAGAAGACCCACGAGAGCAUAAACAAUAGGCUGGCUUUGGUGAUGAAUACGCCCUUUCUUGUUCCUUUUGUUGAUUUUUGUAUUCUGAAAAUGUCUGAGAUCGAGUAUUAUACCAUGCUUGCCAGGGUUGGGGUUCAUCAUUAUAAUUGAAGUGAGUUGCUGAUCAUUACCUUAUGUUAACUGGAAUUUGGGUGAUGAAUCGUGGAUGGUUAUUCUUGCCCUCUGUAAUGUAUGCAAUGGUAAGCAGGAUGGGGGCUAUAAUGCUGACAUAAAAUUUCUAAUAUCUACUAAUUUCUUUAUACUUGAGCUUUGAUAAAGAUCAGCACUUGUAAUGUGCUGCCUAUGUUUAAAUCUGAAGUUUAUUGGGUUUUGUUGAAUUAGUAGCAUUAAAAGAACUUGAUUCUGGUUGGAUAAGUAGUUUGUGAACCCACAUCUUUGCUUAGUGGAUGCUUUCUGGAAUAAGCAUCCUUUUUAAAUAUAUAUAUAGGGGAAUAGGGGAAUAGGGGAAUGUAAAGGCAAAUACUAUAGAAAUCUGGGCAUAAUCCACAACAUCAGCAAAAAGAGUCAGGCUUAAACCCUUUGGUGGUCUCUCGAGGAUUAGUAAGCAUAAGCGAGAAUGGUAAUUGUGUAUUGCCAUCCAGUCUGCAUAGAAGGAAUAAGCGUUUUUUUUUUUUUUUUAAAUAAGCAUUCUUUUUGCUUAUUGGUAUUUGGACAAUUUGUUGUUGAAAAGGCUUUAAUGCUGGGUAUUUAUGCUCUCUACUUCAUUAUUGUGUCUUUCGCAUGUUGCAACUGGUAUAUUACCCUGCAUUCCUUGUGUCCUCGUGUUGUUUAUAUGUGCAGACAAUGUUGAUCUGGGGACAGCUUGUGGCAAAUAUUUCCGGGUCUCUUGUCUUAGCAUUAUUGAUCCAGGUGAUUCUGAUAUCAUCAAGCCUCUUCCUGGAGAGCAGUAAGAGCUUAGUGUCAAUGAGCUACUGGAAUUGUGUUUUAUCCAGGAUUAUAUUAAAUCAUUUAUGGUGUUGACUGUUGAGAAUUUUGUGAUAGAGCCCUUCUUUUUGCC